rnacentral:rRNA from 1 species
AUUGAACGCUGGCGGCAGGCCUAACACAUGCAAGUCGAGCGAGCGGCGGACGGGUGAGUAAUGUAUGGGGACUGCCCGAUAGAGGGGGCAAACUACUGGAAACGGUGGCUAAUACCGCAUACUAUCGGAUAACCCAUAUGGGAUUAGCUAAUAGGUGGGGUAAAGGCUCACUUAGGCGACGAUCGCUAGCUGGUCUGAGGGGAUGAUCGGCCACACUGGGACUUGUACACGGCCCAGACUCCGACGGAGUAAGCAGUGGGGAAUAUUGAACAAUGGGCGCAAGCCUGAUGCAGCCAUGCCGCGUGUAUGAGGAAGGCCUUAGGGUUGUAAAGUACUUUCAGCGGGGAGGCGUUACCCGCAGAAGAAGCACCGGCUAACUCCGUGCCAGCCGCCGCGGUAAUAC